rnacentral:rRNA from 1 species
AAGAACCUUACCAAGGCUUGACAUAUACCGGAAACGGCUGGAAACAGUCGCCCCGCAAGGUCGGUAUACAGGUGGUGCAUGGUUGUCGUCAGCUCGUGUCGUGAGAUGUUGGGUUAAGUCCCGCAACGAGCGCAACCCUCGUUCUUUGUUGCCAGCACGUAAUGGUGGGAACUCAAAGGAGACUGCCGGGGUCAACUCGGAGGAAGGUGGGGAUGACGUCAAAUCAUCAUGCCCCUUAUGUCUUGGGCUUCACGCAUGCUACAAUGGCCGAUACAAAGGGCUGCAAUACCGCAAGGUGGAGCGAAUCCCAAAAAGUCGGUCUCAGUUCGGAUUGAGGUCUGCAACUCGACCUCAUGAAGUCGGAGUCGCUAGUAAUCGCAGAUCAGCAACGCUGCGGUGAAUACGUUCCCGGGCCUUGUACACACCGCCCGUCAAGUCAUGAAAGUCGGUAACACCCGAAGCCAGUGGCCCAACCGCAAGGAGGGAGCUGUCGAAGGUGGGAUCGGUGAUUAGGACUAAGUCGUAACAAGGUAGCCGUA